ACUUUUUUAUUAUAAAUAUUAUAUUUGACUUCCAAUCAAAAGAUCUUGUAAAACAAGAAAAAGUA
rnacentral:tRNA from 1 species